GACGGAGGAGGCAAGCGUUAUCCGGAAUGAUUGGGCGUAAAGAGUCCGUAGGUGGAACUUCAAGUCCAUUGUCAAAGAGCAAAGCUUAACUUUGUAAAGGCAGUGGAAACUGAAGGUCUAGAGAGGGGCAGGGGCAAAGGGAAUUCCUGGUGUAGCGGUGAAAUGCGUAGAGAUCAGGAAGAACACCGGUGGCGAAAGCGCUUUGCUGGGCCUUAUCUGACACUGAGGGACGAAAGCUAGGGGAGCGAAUGGGAUUAGAUACCCCCGUAGUCC
rnacentral:rRNA from 1 species